rnacentral:rRNA from 1 species
ACACUCCUACGGGAGGCAGCAGUGGGGAAUAUUGCACAAUGGGCGCAAGCCUGAUGCAGCGACGCCGCGUGGGGGAUGAAGGCCUUCGGGUUGUAAACUCCUUUCGCUAGGGACGAAGCUUUUUUGUGACGGUACCUAGAUAAGAAGCACCGGCUAACUACGUGCCAGCAGCCGCGGUAAUACGUAGGGUGCGAGCGUUGUCCGGAAUUACUGGGCGUAAAGGGCUCGUAGGUGGUUUGUCGCGUCGUCUGUGAAAUUCUGGGGCUUAACUCCGGGCGUGCAGGCGAUACGGGCAUAACUUGAGUGCUGUAGGGGUAACUGGAAUUCCUGGUGUAGCGGUGAAAUGCGCAGGUAUCAGGAGGAACACCGAUGGCGAAGGCAGGUUACUGGGCAGUUACUGACGCUGAGGAGCGAAAGCAUGGGUAGCGAACAGGAUUAGAAACCCCUGUAGUCCCA